rnacentral:misc_RNA from 1 species
CGUAAACGCCUAACACGCCGAAGCGGAACCCCCAAUAGCUCACCAAGAGGCCGGUGGCGCCGAUCAGGGCGUUGAUCGCGGUCAUGUCGCCGGUCCAGAAUUCGUGGACCAGAGAACCACCCACAAAGCCCCGCAUUCCAGAGUUAAUUCGGCCCGGCUCAUCCCCUCGAUCAGAAACCGGCGCUGCGCCUUCGACCAGCCCUUCCAGGCGUCGCGAAAGCUC